rnacentral:rRNA from 1 species
AAACUAGAUACAAGCGAGCGGCGGACGGGUGAGUAACACGUGGGUAACCUGCCCAAGAGACUGGGAUAACACCUGGAAACAGAUGCUAAUACCGGAUAACAACACUAGACGCAUGUCUAGAGUUUGAAAGAUGGUUCUGCUAUCACUCUUGGAUGGACCUGCGGUGCAUUAGCUAGUUGGUAAGGUAACGGCUUACCAAGGCAAUGAUGCAUAGCCGAGUUGAGAGACUGAUCGGCCACAUUGGGACUGAGACACGGCCCAAACUCCUACGGGAGGCAGCAGUAGGGAAUCUUCCACAAUGGACGAAAGUCUGAUGGAGCAACGCCGCGUGAGUGAAGAAGGGUUUCGGCUCGUAAAGCUCUGUUGGUAGUGAAGAAAGAUAGAGGUAGUAACUGGCCUUUAUUUGACGGUAAUUACUUAGAAAGUCACGGCUAACUACGUGCCAGCAGCCGCGGUAAUACGUAGGUGGCAAGCGUUGUCCGGAUUUAUUGGGCGUAAAGCGAGUGCAGGCGGUUCAAUAAGUCUGAUGUGAAAGCCUUCGGCUCAACCGGAGAAUUGCAUCAGAAACUGUUGAACUUGAGUGCAGAACAGGAGAGUGGAACUCCAUGUGUAGCGGUGGAAUGCGUAGAUAUAUGGAAGAACACCAGUGGCGAAGGCGGCUCUCUGGUCUGCAACUGAC